GAGUCCCCAGGGCUGCCGCCAAUGCGUCUCGGAGGGAGAAGCCACCGGCCCCGCCGAAGUCAAGCCCUUUGCCAACUUGUAUGUUUGUGCCUGGAAGCCCUUCUCUUGGCCAAGGAAGAAAGGAAGAAAGAAAAAGAAACCCAGGGGCCUGUAUCCCCUGAUUAAACACAGCCCAGCACUCCAGGCAGGCGCGCCCGGUGGCGGCUCCUUGCACCAUUGACCUCAGGCCAGACACCUCAGCGCCGACAAUGGGACCUAGGCCUUCCGGGCUAGGUUUGCCCCGGGUUGGGGUUGGGCAGGAAAUCAGCUCCACCAGGAGGACAGGGGCCAUUUCUAGCAGCUGGGACCCCAAGACGGCAAACCAGCCCAGUCACCACUUGACACUUAGGACAAUACCUAUCUCUACAGAAUUUUAGCGCGAUAUGGCUUUUUCCCCCAGAAAACAACAAAUAAACCAGCACCAAGCAAACAGACAAAGAAACAAAAAGUCAGAACAAACCAGCCCUGCACAGAUGAACGGCCCAGGAGAUGGCGAGUGUGGGAGGGAGGAAUGGGGGUCCGGCACAGGUGCGAGUUCCUGGGCAGAGGACGGAGAUAGAGGGAGGGGACCGGCGCUCUGGCAGCGGGGAGAAAACAAAACAAAAACAAAAACAAAACAGCGUCGCCUGGAGCUUCAUCAGGAAAAAUUAAAGUUGGCUGUAAGCUCCCGGA